CCUACGGGGAGCAGCAGUGAGGAAUAUUGGUCAUUGGGCGUAAGCCUGAACCAGCCAACUCGCGUGAGGGAUGAAGGUUCUAUGGAUCGUAAACCUCUUUUAUAAGGGAAUAAAGUGCGGGCCUUGUCCCGUUUUCUAUGUACCUUACUAAUAAGGAUCGGCUAACUCCGUGCCAGCAGCCGCGGUACUACGGAGGAUCCGAGCGUUAUCCGGAUUUAUUGGGUUUAAAGGGUGCGUAGGCGGCCUUUUAAGUCAGCGGUGAAAGCCUGUGGCUCAACCAUAGAAUUGCCGUGGAAACUGGGAGGCUUGAGUAUGUGUGAGGCAGGCGGAAUGCGUGGUGUAGCGGUGAAAUGCUUAGAUAUCAGGCAGAACCCCGAUUGCGAAGGCAGCCUGCCAAGCCAUGACUGACGCUGAUGCACGAAAGCGUGGGGAUCAAACAGGAUUAGAUACCCUAGUAGUC
rnacentral:rRNA from 1 species